rnacentral:rRNA from 1 species
UUAAGCGACUAAGCGUACACGGUGGAUGCCCUGGCAGUCAGAGGCGAUGAAGGACGUGCUAAUCUGCGAUAAGCGUCGGUAAGGUGAUAUGAACCGUUAUAACCGGCGAUUUCCGAAUGGGGAAACCCAGUGUGAUUCGUCACACUAUCAUUAACUGAAUCCAUAGGUUAAUGAGGCGAACCGGGGGAACUGAAACAUCUAAGUACCCCGAGGAAAAGAAAUCAACCGAGAUUCCCCCAGUAGCGGCGAGCGAACGGGGAGGAGCCCAGAGCCUGAAUCAGUGUGUGUGUUAGUGGAAGCGUCUGGAAAGGCGCGCGAUACAGGGUGACAGCCCCGUACACAAAAAUGCACAUAUUGUGAGCUCGAUGAGUAGGGCGGGACACGUGGUAUCCUGUCUGAAUAUGGGGGGACCAUCCUCCAAGGCUAAAUACUCCUGACUGACCGAUAGUGAACCAGUACCGUGAGGGAAAGGCGAAAAGAACCCCGGCGAGGGGAGUGAAAAAGAACCUGAAACCGUGUACGUACAAGCAGUGGGAGCACGCUUAGGCGUGUGACUGCGUACCUUUUGUAUAAUGGGUCAGCGACUUAUAUUCUGUAGCAAGGUUAACCGAAUAGGGGAGCCGAAGGGAAACCGAGUCUUAACUGGGCGUUAAGUUGCAGGGUAUAGACCCGAAACCCGGUGAUCUAGCCAUGGGCAGGUUGAAGGUUGGGUAACACUAACUGGAGGACCGAACCGACUAAUGUUGAAAAAUUAGCGGAUGACUUGUGGCUGGGGGUGAAAGGCCAAUCAAACCGGGAGAUAGCUGGUUCUCCCCGAAAGCUAUUUAGGUAGCGCCUCGUGAAUUCAUCUCCGGGGGUAGAGCACUGUUUCGGCAAGGGGGUCAUCCCGACUUACCAACCCGAUGCAAACUGCGAAUACCGGAGAAUGUUAUCACGGGAGACACACGGCGGGUGCUAACGUCCGUCGUGAAGAGGGAAACAACCCAGACCGCCAGCUAAGGUCCCAAAGUCAUGGUUAAGUGGGAAACGAUGUGGGAAGGCCCAGACAGCCAGGAUGUUGGCUUAGAAGCAGCCAUCAUUUAAAGAAAGCGUAAUAGCUCACUGGUCGAGUCGGCCUGCGCGGAAGAUGUAACGGGGCUAAACCAUGCACCGAAGCUGCGGCAGCGACGCUUAUGCGUUGUUGGGUAGGGGAGCGUUCUGUAAGCCUGUGAAGGUGUGCUGUGAGGCAUGCUGGAGGUAUCAGAAGUGCGAAUGCUGACAUAAGUAACGAUAAAGCGGGUGAAAAGCCCGCUCGCCGGAAGACCAAGGGUUCCUGUCCAACGUUAAUCGGGGCAGGGUGAGUCGACCCCUAAGGCGAGGCCGAAAGGCGUAGUCGAUGGGAAACAGGUUAAUAUUCCUGUACUUGGUGUUACUGCGAAGGGGGGACGGAGAAGGCUAUGUUGGCCGGGCGACGGUUGUCCCGGUUUAAGCGUGUAGGCUGGUUUUCCAGGCAAAUCCGGAAAAUCAAGGCUGAGGCGUGAUGACGAGGCACUACGGUGCUGAAGCAACAAAUGCCCUGCUUCCAGGAAAAGCCUCUAAGCAUCAGGUAACAUCAAAUCGUACCCCAAACCGACACAGGUGGUCAGGUAGAGAAUACCAAGGCGCUUGAGAGAACUCGGGUGAAGGAACUAGGCAAAAUGGUGCCGUAACUUCGGGAGAAGGCACGCUGAUAUGUAGGUGAAGUCCCUCGCGGAUGGAGCUGAAAUCAGUCGAAGAUACCAGCUGGCUGCAACUGUUUAUUAAAAACACAGCACUGUGCAAACACGAAAGUGGACGUAUACGGUGUGACGCCUGCCCGGUGCCGGAAGGUUAAUUGAUGGGGUCAGCGCAAGCGAAGCUCUUGAUCGAAGCCCCGGUAAACGGCGGCCGUAACUAUAACGGUCCUAAGGUAGCGAAAUUCCUUGUCGGGUAAGUUCCGACCUGCACGAAUGGCGUAAUGAUGGCCAGGCUGUCUCCACCCGAGACUCAGUGAAAUUGAACUCGCUGUGAAGAUGCAGUGUACCCGCGGCAAGACGGAAAGACCCCGUGAACCUUUACUAUAGCUUGACACUGAACAUUGAGCCUUGAUGUGUAGGAUAGGUGGGAGGCUUUGAAGUGUGGACGCCAGUCUGCAUGGAGCCGACCUUGAAAUACCACCCUUUAAUGUUUGAUGUUCUAACGUUGACCCGUGAUCCGGGUUGCGGACAGUGUCUGGUGGGUAGUUUGACUGGGGCGGUCUCCUCCUAAAGAGUAACGGAGGAGCACGAAGGUUGGCUAAUCCUGGUCGGACAUCAGGAGGUUAGUGCAAUGGCAUAAGCCAGCUUGACUGCGAGCGUGACGGCGCGAGCAGGUGCGAAAGCAGGUCAUAGUGAUCCGGUGGUUCUGAAUGGAAGGGCCAUCGCUCAACGGAUAAAAGGUACUCCGGGGAUAACAGGCUGAUACCGCCCAAGAGUUCAUAUCGACGGCGGUGUUUGGCACCUCGAUGUCGGCUCAUCACAUCCUGGGGCUGAAGUAGGUCCCAAGGGUAUGGCUGUUCGCCAUUUAAAGUGGUACGCGAGCUGGGUUUAGAACGUCGUGAGACAGUUCGGUCCCUAUCUGCCGUGGGCGCUGGAGAACUGAGGGGGGCUGCUCCUAGUACGAGAGGACCGGAGUGGACGCAUCACUGGUGUUCGGGUUGUCAUGCCAAUGGCACUGCCCGGUAGCUAAAUGCGGAAGAGAUAAGUGCUGAAAGCAUCUAAGCACGAAACUUGCCCCGAGAUGAGUUCUCCCUGACCCUUUAAGGGUCCUGAAGGAACGUUGAAGACGACGACGUUGAUAGGCCGGGUGUGUAAGCGCAGCGAUGCGUUGAGCUAACCGGUACUAAUGAACCGUGAGGCUUAACCUU